AUUGAACGCUGGCGGCAGGCCUAACACAUGCAAGUCGAACGGCAGCGGGGGAUAGCUUGCUAUCCUGCCGGCGAGUGGCGGACGGGUGAGUAAUGCAUGGGGAGCUGCCCAGUCGAGGGGGAUAACAACUGGAAACGGUUGCUAAUACCGCAUACGCCCUGAGGGGGAAAGGUGGGGAACUUCGGUCCUACCGCGAUUGGAUGCGCCCAUGUGGGAUUAGCUAGUGGGUGAGGUAACGGCUCACCAAGGCGACGAUCUCUAGCUGGUCUGAGAGGAUGACCAGCCACACUGGGAGUGAGACAGUGUCCAGACUCCGACGGGAGGCAGCAGUGGGGAAUAUUGGACAAUGGGGGAAACCCUGAUGCGGCCAUGCCGCGUGUGUGAAGGAGGCCUUCGGGUUGUAAAGCACUUUCAGUCAGGAGGAAGGGGUGAUGGCUAAUAUCCAUCAUCAUUGACGUUACUGACAGAAGAAGCACCGGCUAACUCCGUGCCAGCCGCCGCCGUAA
rnacentral:rRNA from 1 species